AUGCAGUCGAGCGGUAGCACAGGGGAGCUUGCUCCCUGGGUGACGAGCGGCGGACGGGUGAGUAAUGUCUGGGAAACUGCCUGAUGGAGGGGGAUAACUACUGGAAACGGUAGCUAAUACCGCAUAACGUCGCAAGACCAAAGAGGGGGACCUUCGGGCCUCUUGCCAUCAGAUGUGCCCAGAUGGGAUUAGCUAGUAGGUGGGGUAAUGGCUCACCUAGGCGACGAUCCCUAGCUGGUCUGAGAGGAUGACCAGCCACACUGGAACUGAGACACGGUCCAGACUCCUACGGGAGGCAGCAGUGGGGAAUAUUGCACAAUGGGCGCAAGCCUGAUGCAGCCAUGCCGCGUGUGUGAAGAAGGCCUUCGGGUUGUAAAGCACUUUCAGCGAGGAGGAAGGUGGUGAGCUUAAUACGCUCAUCAAUUGACGUUACUCGCAGAAGAAGCACCGGCUAACUCCGUGCCAGCAGCCGCGGUAAUACGGAGGGUGCAAGCGUUAAUCGGAAUUACUGGGCGUAAAGCGCACGCAGGCGGUUUGUUAAGUCAGAUGUGAAAUCCCCGGGCUCAACCUGGGAACUGCAUUUGAAACUGGCAAGCUAGAGUCUCGUAGAGGGGGGUAGAAUUCCAGGUGUAGCGGUGAAAUGCGUAGAGAUCUGGAGGAAUACCGGUGGCGAAGGCGGCCCCCUGGACGAAGACUGACGCUCACGUGCGAAAGCGUGGGGGAGCAAACAGGAUUAGAUACCCUGGUAGUCCACGCUGUAAACGAUGUCGAUUUGGAGGUUGUGCCCUUGAGCGUGGCUUCCGGAGCUAACGCGUUAAAUCGACCGCCUGGGGAGAGUACGGCCGCAAGGUUAAAACUCAAAUGAAUUGACGGGGGCCCGCACAAGCGGUGGAGCAUGUGGUUUAAUUCGAUGCAACGCGAAGAACCUUACCUACUCUUGACAUCCAGAGAACUUAGCAGAGAUGCUUUGGUGCCUUCGGGAACUCUGAGACAGGUGCUGCAUGGCUGUCGUCAGCUCGUGUUGUGAAAUGUUGGGUUAAGUCCCGCAACGAGCGCAACCCUUAUCCUUUGUUGCCAGCGGUUCGGCCGGGAACUCAAAGGAGACUGCCAGUGAUAAACUGGAGGAAGGUGGGGAUGACGUCAAGUCAUCAUGGCCCUUACGAGUAGGGCUACACACGUGCUACAAUGGCGUAUACAAAGAGAAGCGACCUCGCGAGAGCAAGCGGACCUCAUAAAGUACGUCGUAGUCCGGAUUGGAGUCUGCAACUCGACUCCAUGAAGUCGGAAUCGCUAGUAAUCGUAGAUCAGAAUGCUACGGUGAAUACGUUCCCGGGCCUUGUACACACCGCCCGUCACACCAUGGGAGUGGGUUGCUAAAAGAAGUAGGUAGCUUAACCUC
rnacentral:rRNA from 1 species